rnacentral:rRNA from 1 species
CAAUAGCGUAUAUUAAAGUUGUUGCAGUUAAAAAGCUCGUAGUCGAACUCCUGUUUGGUACCGCAUCGGAGACAUACGUCAACUUUGCGGUCCAAGCAUUCUUCUACUCAGCAGUAGCAAUGCUGUUGCGGUAGAGCCUUUACUUUGAGAAAAUUAGAGUGUUUCAAGCAAGCGUCUGCUUUGAAUACUACAGCAUGGAAUAAUACAAUAGGACCUCGGGCCUAUUUGUUGGUUUCUGGCCUGAAGUAAUGAUUAAUAGGGACAGUUGGGGGCAUUCGUAUUGGAUAGUCAGCGGUGAAAUGCGUGGAUUUAUUCAAGACGAACUACUGCGAAAGCAUUUGCCAAAGAUGUUUUCAUUGA